CCUACGGGAGGCAGCAGUGGGGAAUCUUGCACAAUGGGGGAAACCCUGAUGCAGCGACGCCGCGUGAGUGAAGAAGUAAUUCGUUAUGUAAAGCUCUAUCAGCAGGGAAGAAAAUGACGGUACCUGAGUAAGAAGCCCCGGCUAACUACGUGCCAGCAGCCGCGGUAAUACGUAGGGGGCAAGCGUUAUCCGGAUUUACUGGGUGUAACGGGAGCGUAGACGGCAGUGCAAGUCUGGAGUGAAAGGCGAGGGCUCAACCCCCGGACGGCUCUGGAAACUGUACGGCUGGAGUGCAGGAGAGGUAAGUGGAAUUCCUAGUGUAGCGGUGAAAUGCGUAGAUAUUAGGAGGAACACCAGUGGCGAAGGCGGCUUACUGGACUGUAACUGACGUUGAGGCUCGAAAGCGUGGGGAGCAAACAGGAUUAGAUACCCUUGUAGUC
rnacentral:rRNA from 1 species